AUUGAACGCUGGCGGCAGGCCUAACACAUGCAAGUCGAACGAGUGGCGGACGGGUGAGUAAUGUCUGGGAAACUGCCUGACGGAGGGGGAUAACUACUGGAAACGGUAGAUAAUACCGCAUACCAUCGGAUGUGCCCAGACGGGAUUAGCUAGUAGGUGGGGUAAAGGCGAACCAAGGCGACGAUCCCUAGCUGGUCUGAGAGGAUGAACAGCCACACUGGAACUGAGACACGGUCCAGACGCCUACGGGAGGCAGCAGUGGGGAAUAUUGCGCAAUGGGCGAAAGCCUGAUGCAGCCAUGCCGCGUGUAUGAAGAAGGCCUUCGGGUUGUAAAGUACUUUCGGCGGGGAGGCGUUACCCGCAGAAGAAGCACCGGCUAACUCCGUGCCAGCCGCCGCGGUAAUAC
rnacentral:rRNA from 1 species